GAGAGCUUGUGGAGAAAGUCGGUGCGACUGUCCUUGACCUUCGCGUAUGCCUUAGCCACCUUCAACCGGGCUUUCCGAUAGUUGUUGCUUCCUUUCUUCUUCCUGGCGAGUUUUCGUUGCGCCAGCCCGAGUUUCCUCAAGUGUUUUCUCAAGUAUCGUGGAUUGUCGAUUUUCUCACCAUUGCUGAGGAUGGCGAAGUGUUCCAAUCCCAUGUCGAUGCCGACCAUGUUCCCGUUCUUGGCGUGCUGUCGAAUCUCGUCCUCGACCAGUAUGCUGACGUGCCAACGUCCAGCCGCGUCCAAACUGACCGUCACGCUGGACGGUCGGCUUUUACGUGGCAGGGCUCGCGACCAUCGGACAGGCAAUGGGUCAUGCAUUUUAGCCAGCGUCAACGCCCUGUGCUCCCAAUCCCAUGUGAAUGCGGAGACGGUGUAGGUGGCGGAUCCUCCCUCGUGUUUCGCUUUGAAUCUUGGAUAGGAGCUGGUCUUGUCGAAGAACCUCUUGAACGCGGCCUGUAAAUGCCGUAGUGAUUGUUGCAGCGGGACGGACGACACUUCCGUCAGAU
rnacentral:antisense_RNA from 1 species